rnacentral:lncRNA from 1 species
UAGGGGCUGGUUGUCGCGCUCCACAAGAUCGUGACGGCUAUUGGACGUGGUGUAUCGGUUGCUAAGGCGCGGUCUUGAGGGCUGUAGUUGGGCCGUGAACGUCAUCUCCAUCCACCAAUCGAGUUAUCCCCGUCUCUCAUCAAAAGAUCGGGCAAAAACCCUAGCGGGUUCGCAUCAGUUGGUAAUCAGAGCAAGGUUCUUCGGUGAG